rnacentral:rRNA from 1 species
UACGGGGGGGGCAAGCGUUGUUCGGAAUUACUGGGCGUAAAGGGCUCGUAGGCGGCCAACUAAGUCAGACGUGAAAUCCCCAGGCUUAACCUGGGAACUGCGUGUGAUACUGGAUGGCUUGAAUUCGGGAGAGGGAUGCAGAAUUCCAGGUGUAGCGGUGAAAUGCGUAGAUAUCUGGAGGAAUACCGGUGGCGAAGGCGGCAUCCUGGACCGACAUUGACGCUGAGGAGCGAAAGCUAGGGGAGCAAACGGG